rnacentral:rRNA from 1 species
GACGAACGCUGGCGGCGUGCCUAACACAUGCAAGUCGAGCGGGAUAAUGCAGCAGCUUGCUGCUGCAUUAUUCAGCGGCGGACGGGUGAGUAACACGUGGGCAACCUGCCCUGCAGAGGGGAAUAGCCAACCGAAAGGUUGAUUAAUACCGCAUACACUAUAGUGAACGCAUGUUCGGUAUAGUAAAGGAUAUAUAUUCGAGAGGAUAAAUAUCCGUUGCAGGAGGGGCCCGCGGCCCAUUAGUUAGUUGGUGAGGUAGAGGCCCACCAAGACGACGAUGGGUAGCCGAUCUGAGAGGAUGAACGGCCACAUUGGAACUGAGAGACGGUCCAGACUCCUACGGGAGGCAGCAGUGGGGGAGUAUUGCGCAAUGGGGGGAACCCGUGACGCAGCAACGCCGCGUGAGUGAAGAAGGUCUUCGGAUCGUAAAGCUCUGUCAUUAGGGACGAAAGAGAUGACGGUACCUAAUGAGGAAAGCCACGG